rnacentral:rRNA from 1 species
CCUACGGGUGGCAGCAGUCGAGAAUCAUUCACAAUGGGGGAAACCCUGAUGGGGCGACGCCGCGUGGGGGAAUGAAGGUCUGCGGAUUGUAAACCCCUGUCAUGUGGGAGCAAAUUAAAAAGAGAGUACCACAAGAGGAAGAGACGGCGAACCCUGUGCCAGCAGCCGCGGUAAGACAGAGGUCGCAAGCGUUGUUCGGAAGAACUGGGCGUAACGCGUGCGUAGGCUGUUUCGUAAGUCGUGUGUGAAAGGCGCGGGCCCAACCCGCGGACGGCACAUGAUACUGCGAGACUAGAGUAAUGGAGGGGGAACCGGCCUUCUCGGUGUAGCCGU